rnacentral:rRNA from 1 species
CCUACGGGAGGCAGCAGUGAGGAAUAUUGGUCAAUGGCCGGAAGGCUGAACCAGCCAAGUAGCGUGAAGGAUGACUGCCCUACGGGUUGUAAACUUCUUUUAUAAAGGAAUAAAGUGAGGCACGUGUGCCUUUUUGUGUGUACUUGAUGAAUAAGGAUCGGCUAACUCCGUGCCAGCAGCCGCGGUAAUACGGAGGAUCCGAGCGUUAUCCGGAUUUAUUGGGGUUAAAGGGAGCGUAGAUGGGUUGUUAAGUCAGUUGUGAAAGUUUGGGGCUUAACCGUAAAAUUGCAAUUGAUACUGGCAGUCUUGAGUACAGUUGAGGUAGGCGGAAUUCGCGGUGUAGCGGUGAAAUGCUUAGAUAUCACGAAGAACUCCGAUUGCGAAGGCAGCUUACUAGACUGCCACUGACAUUGAUGCUCGAAAGUGUGGGUAUCAAACAGGAUUAGAUACCCCUGUAGUC